rnacentral:rRNA from 1 species
UACGAAGGGGGCUAGCGUUGCUCGGAAUCACUGGGCGUAAAGCGCACGUAGGCGGCUUGUUGCGUCGACCGUGAAAACCCGCGGCUUAACCGUGGGCUUGCGGUCGAUACGGGCGGGCUGGAGUUCGGUAGGGGAGACUGGAAUUCCUGGUGUAGCGGUGAAAUGCGCAGAUAUCGGGAGGAACACCAAUGGCGAAGGCAGCUCGCUGGGACGGUACUGACGCUGAGACGCGAAAGCGUGGGGAGCAACAGG